GGAGAGAUCGCAUAGUGGUCUAGUGCGCUCGCUUGGAAAGCGAGUAGACCUGCAAGGGUCUCGGGGGUUCGAAUCCCCCUCUCUCCGCCA
rnacentral:tRNA from 1 species